ensembl:snRNA U6 U6 spliceosomal RNA
GUGCUCGCUUCAGCAGCACUUAUACUAAAUUGGAACGGUACAGAGAUUAGCAUGGCCUUGCGCAAGGAUGACACACAAAUUCAUGAAGCGUGCCAUAUUAAA